GGUUUGUGGCUCAGCGGUAGAGCACUCGCCUACCAAGUACAAGGCCCUGGGUUUGAUCCUCAGCACCA
rnacentral:tRNA from 1 species